CUUUGUGCGCCGAGGGUUUCGCCGUGCCCGGCAAGGGCAGCCUUCAGAACGAGUAGCAGCACGUGAUCCGCGAGGCGAGCCGCCAAUUUCCUGUUCGGUUUGAUCUGCUGUGGUUCGAUUCCGUCGAUGUGGUCGAUAAUGUCCUAACGCUCCACGUUUUGUGUUUUGGGUUGCAGGAGCCGAGGGUGCUGGUCCUGGCUCGCCCGCUUGCCCAGCUACAUCUUGGAGUGCUGCAGGUUACUGGUCCUCUACUUGUGGUGAUGUUGCUGUCCAUCGGAGCUCCUGAUGGCGCUCCCAUUCUCUGUUAGGAUGAGCUGCCCCUGUUUUUUUCGACUCGGACUGCGGCCACCGUCGCAAGAUGAAUAUGGAGAAUGCCUUAUAGCUGAAUAAUUGGCUCCACGUUCAGGAGAUCAAAUCGGACAGCGCCGGAGACAAGAACGAUUCGUAGUAAGGUUCAGGAGGACUUCCUCCUCUCGGAUGCUGGGGACAACAACGAUUAAAACAGAUAGGGCGUGAACCCCAGCUAUCUUAGUAUGGUGGAAUAGACCGAAGCGGCAGCGACUUUCUCCACUUGGACUAUGCCAGAGACAAGAACGACUCGUAGUAAGGUUCAGAACAUACUGGGGUUGAUUAGCACCAAGCCGGGCGAACCAAGAGGAGGGAUUGGAGGGUGGACCAGGACUACACUUGUGCUUUCAGAAUUUCUUGCUGCCACUUGUCCUUACUAUUGGAGGGUGCCUUGGAGCUGCAAAGUAGGCGGGUUCACUAGGACGCCGCUGGGGACAAGAACGACUAGGUGCCUCUUGCCUGCCUUUUACCUUGUAACAACACACAAGAUUUUCUUGCCGUCACCUUUCCUGAAUAUGGGUGGUGCCUUGUAGCUGGAAAAUGUGUGACUGUGCUGGUGCUGCUUAGGCUCUCAUACGAUGGACUUAGACUGCUGACCGCCACCACAUGGCGGUGAGCAUCGCAUCCUCCUGGACCUGUCCAGUUCCCGUUUGCUGAUUAAAGAAGGAUCAGGAUUGGGUGCAGGGUACAGUGGUGCUGGUAGAGCCCACUGCUAGCAGCAGCAGUGAUGGCGCUGUGCAUGAAGAUCCAGGAGGGCGCCUUGAUACGGCGACUUGCUCCUCCACUAGGAUGCAUGCAGCUGCCACCUGGGACAAGAAUGAACAACUAGCUUGUUGUGAUACCUGCUGGGAAUGUUUUGGUCAAAGACUCCGAGUAGAAACGGGCUCUAAUCUUUUGAUCACAGGGUAAAUAUCAAGGCAUCAGCUUGGGUGUUGAGGCUGAUGCAUCAAUCGACAACGAAGAACAGCGGGGCAAGGAGACGUGGCCAUCAGGCAGCACCAUGUUGCAUGAAUUGUGUUGUAUGCACCUUUAGCCUCCUUGAAUAUUACAUCCGUGAUGUAUAUAGUUGCAAAGGAUAUGUUUUGCUGUAAUAUUCGCUGUACCAUGUUGCAUGAGUUGUGUUGUAUGCGCCUUUAGCUUUGUUUUAUUUGCUUUGUGAUGUGAAUGUCCCUAAAAAAUGCUGAUAUAUAUAUUUGCUUUUAUCGUUGAUUGUUUGAUAUGUGACCUGAAUGCUUGAGAAAUCAAAAAGGUCUUGGCAAGUUUUCGGUUU